AGAGCGAACGCUGGCGGCAGGCCUAACACAUGCAAGUCGAGCGCCCCGCAAGGGGAGCGGCAGACGGGAGAGUAACACGUGGGAACGUACCCUUUGGUUCGGAACAACACAGGGAAACUUGUGCUAAUACCGGAUAAGCCCUUACGGGGAAAGAUUUAUCGCCAAAGGAUCGGCCCGCGUCUGAUUAGCUAGUUGGUGAGGUAACGGCUCACCAAGGCUACGAUCAGUAGCUGGUCUGAGAGGAUGAUCAGCCUCACUGGGACUGAGACACGGCCCAGACUCCUACGGGAGGCAGCAGUGGGGAAUAUUGGACAAUGGGCGCAAGCCUGAUCCAGCCAUGCCGCGUGGGUGAUGAAGGCCCUAGGGUUGUAAAGCCCUUUCGGCGGGGAAGAUAAUGACGGUACCCGCAGAAGAGCCCCGGCUAACUUCGCGCCAGCAGCCGC
rnacentral:rRNA from 1 species